rnacentral:rRNA from 1 species
AGGUGAAGGGCGCGGCGAACGGCUGAGUACCACGUUGGAACCUACCCCGAACUCAGGGAUAACCCAUCGAAAGAUGGGCUAAUACCGGAUAGUCCCGAAAGGGUAAAGAUUUUUCGGUUCGGGAGGGGCCUGCGUCCUAUCAGUUUGUUGGUGGGGUAAAAGCCUACCAAGACUAUGACGGGUAGCUGGUCUGAGAGGACGACCAGCCAGAAUGGGACUGAGACACGGCCCAUACUCC